UGCUCCAGACACUCAACUAGUCUAAAGAAGGCCAGUUUUAUUGCUUCUUUAAUCAGAACGACAGUUUUCAGCUGUGCUAACAUAAUUGCAAAAGGGUUUUCUAAUGAUCAAUUAGCCUUUAAAAUAAGCUUGGAUUAGCUAACACAACAUGCCAUUGGAACACAGGAGUGAUGGUUGCUGAUAAUGGGCCUCUGUAAGCCUAUCUAGAUAUUCCAUAAAAAAUCAGCCGUUUCCAGCUACAAUAGUCAUUAACAAGGUCUACACUGUAUUUCGGAUCAAUUUGAUGUUAUUUUAAUGGACAAAUGUGCUUUUCUUUCAGAAACAAGAACAUUUCUAAGUGACCCCAAACUUUUGAAUUGUAUGUAUGGUACCAGUCAACAGUUUGGACAGAGGUACUCAUUCAAGGGUUUUUCUUUAUUUUUACUAUUUUCUACAUUGUAGAAUAAUAGUGAAGACAUCAAUACUAUUAAAUAUUGCAUAUGGAAUCAUGUAGUAACCAAAAAGGGUUCAAAUCCAAAUAUAUUUGAGAUUCUCCAAAUUAGCCACCCGUUGCCUUGAUGGCAUCUUUGCAUACUCUUGGCAUUCUUUCAACCAGCUUCACCUUGAAGUCACCUUGAAAGCGUUUCAAUUAACAGGUGUUCCUUGUUAAAAGGACAUUAGUGGAAUGCAUUUCCUUAAUGUGUUUGAGCCAAUCAGUUGUGUUGUGAAAAGGUAGGGGUGGUAUACAGAAGGUAGCCCUAUUUCUAAAAUAUCAAGUCCAUAUGGCAAGAACAGCUCAAAUAAGCAAAGAGAAACAACAGUCCAUUACUUUAAGACAUGAAGGUCCGUCAAUAUGAAACAUUUCAAGAACUUGGAAAGUUUCAAGUGAAGUUGCAAAAAUCAUCAAGCGCUAUGAUGAAACUGGCUCUUAUGAGGACUGCCACACAAAAGGAAGACCCAGAGUUAUCUCUGCUGCAGAGAAUAAGUUCAAUAAAUCAAAACAAAUGUAUUUAUAUAGCCCUUCUUACAUCAGCUGAUAUCUCAAAGUGCUGUACAGAAACCCAGCCUAAAACCCCAAACAGCAAGCAAUGCAGGUGUAGAAGCUCGGUGGCUAGGAAAAACUCCCUAGAAAGGCCGAAACCUAGAGAGGAAUCAGGCUAUGAGGGGUGGCCAGUCCUCUUCUGGCUGUGCCGAGUGGAGUGUUCAAAUGUUAAUAAAUGACCAGCAUGGUCAAAUAAUAAUAAUCACAGUAGUUGUCGAGGGUGCAACAGAUCAGUACCUCAGGAGUAAAUGUCAGUUUGCUUUUCAUAGCCGAUCAUUCAGAGUAUCUCUACCGCUCCUGCUGUCUCUAGAGAGUUGAAAACAGCAGGUCUGGGACAGGUAGCACGUCCGGUGAACAGGUCAGGGUUCCAUAGCCGUAGGCAGAACAGUUGAAACUGGAGCAGAAGCACGGCCAGGUGGACUCGAGACAACAAGGAGUCAUCAUGCCAGGUAGUCCUGAGGCAUGGUCAUAGGGCUCAGGUCCCCUGAGAGAAUUAGAGAGAGCAUACUUAAAUUCACACAGAACACUGGAGAAAUACUCCAGAUAUAACAGACUGACCCUAGUCCUCCAACACAUAAAGUGCUGCAGCAUAAAUACUGGAGGCUGAGACAGGAGGGGUCAGGAGACACUGUGGCCCCAUCUGAUGAUACCCCCGUACAGGGCCAAACAGGCAUGAUAUAACCCCACCCACUUUGCCAAAGCACAGCCCCCACACCAAAAGAGGGAUAUCUUCAACCACCAACUUACCAUCCUGAGACAAGGCCGAGUAUAGCCCACAAAGAUCUCCGCCACGGCACAACCCAAAGGGGGGCGGGGCGCCAACCCAGAGAGGAAGACCACGUCAGUGACUCAACCCACUCAAGUGACGCACCCCUCCUAGGGACGGCAUGGAAGAGCACCAGUAAGCCAGUGACUCUGCCUCUGUAAUAGGGUUAGAGGCAGAGAAUCCCAGUGGAGAGAGGGGAACCGGCUAGGCAGAGACGGCAAGGGCGGUUCGUUGCUCCAGUGCCUUUCCGUUCACCUUCACACUCCUGGGCCAGACUACACUCAAUCAUAGGACCUACCGAAGAGAUGAGUCUUCAAUAAAGACUUAAAGGUUGAGACCGAGUCUGCAUCUCUCACAUGGGUAGGCAGACAAUCCCAUAAAAAUGGAGCUCUAUAGGAGAAAGCCCUGCCUCCAGCUGUUUGCUUAGAAAUUCUAGGGACAAUUAGGAGGCCUGCGUCUUGUGACCAUAGCAUACGUGUAGGUAUGUACAGCAGGACCAAAUCGUAAAGAUAGGUAUGUAAUGCUUUGUAGGUUAGCAGUAAAACCUUGAAUUCAGCCCUUGCCUUAACAGGAAGCCAGUGUAGGGAGGCUAGCACUGGAGUAAUAUGAUCAAAUUUUGGGGUUCUAGUCUGGAUUCUAGCAGCCGUAUUCAGCACUAUUUGAAGUUUAUUUAGUGCUUUAUCCGGGUAGCCGGAAAGUAGAGCAUUGCAGUAGUCUAACCUAGAAGUGACAAAAGCAUUGAUUAAUUUUUCUGCAUCAAUUUUGGACAGAACAUUUCUGAUCUUUGCAAUGUUACAUAGAUGAAAAAAAGCUGUCCUUGAAACAAUCUUGAUAUGUUCGUCAAAAGAGAGAUCAGGGUCCAGAGUAAAGCCGAGGUCCUUCACAGUUUUAUUUGAGACGACUGUACAACAAUCAAGAUUAAUUAUCAGAUUCAACAGAAGAUCUCUUUGUUUCUUGAGACCUAGGACAAGCAAACUUGAGUUACCAGCCUCAGAAAUUGAAGAAAUUGAUGCUUCACAGAAUUCAAGUAAAAGACAUCUUAACAUCAACUGUUCAGAGGAGACUGUGAAUCAGGCCUUCAUGGUCAAAUUGCUGCAAAGAAACCACUACUAAAGGACACCAAUAAGAAGAGACUUGCUUGGGCUGAAGAAGGUUAAACCAAAGCCUUAUACCUUUUAAAGGCUUAAUAAAUUAUGUUAUGAUGAACUGUAAGGUCUCGUCUUCAGGAGACUGUGUGUGUGUUAACCUGUUUUUGAGUGUUGUGACCUUCAGACACUAUCAGAAGGCGUCUACGUUCAGAUUCCUCCUGUCUGGAUCCCACCGUGGUUAUCUGGUUUUCGAGAACACAAGGCUGCCACCGACCUGAUGAAACCAGCCACCUGUCAGAAGAUGCUUACACUCGUUCACAUCGUUAUGGCUCUAUACUUGUGAUGAAAGGUCCAAGUUUUGGUCAAACCCACUUCUGAGUUUUUACUUGCUGGUAAGAUGGUUCCUGCUGUCGGGGAGGUUAGAUUUAUUAAAAUGUUGUUGUUAGAGAAAGUUACGUAAGGGGGAUUGGGGAGGCUAUAUGAGUUACAGGAUGUCUUAGACUUUUUUGCAUUACUUGGGAGAGAACUAUCAUAUACUGUAUUCUAUCAACUUCUGCCUACAAUUGUAUUACUAAAAGGAGUAUAUUACUCCUUAAACAAGAGUCUGUGUUUCCUUUCCAUUACUAAUGUAUGUUUGAUAAUUAUAUAGACCUGAUCAUUUGUUGAAGAAAUUGACCAACAUUUUGACGAACUAGCCAGGAGUCAGUGACCACAUCGCUGGACUGACCAUUGAUCCACGUCAAGCGCUACAAAAUUUGAAGGAAGGCCCAGGAAGUUCCAGAACAGGGCGACCCAGACAGCCUACCUGUUGAUGUUGGAGAAUGGAUCAAGCUGAAGUUCCACAAGAGAAAAUGGAACCACCCCAGAUGGAUGGGCCCAUACCAGGUCAUCGCAGCAACACCAAGAGCAGUGAAGGUCCAGGAGCGCCAGGGAUGGCACCACCUAUCACACUGCCAGAAGACGUCCCAACCAUCCUAACAGAUAAGAGUGCACAUCCAGACCCAGAUGUUAUUACACAUGACCACUAUGGUCACAUUGUUAAAAAUAAAACUUGGGGUAAACCUUUAAGGUACAUGUUUUUGGUGCUUCUUAUUCUGUACCAGCAGUCUCUGCUCAAAGGAAUAGAGAUCCAGGAGAACCAAUUGAAAACCAGUAAUCAAUGGGUAAACACGGUCCAAAAUCUGAGUAGACGAGCCACGCCUAGUGGUUUGUAGUUGUUUUGAAAACCCCUCAGAGUCAGAGUGAGUUGUUCGGAUCAGUUGUCAUAGGUGAUUGGAUUAACAACAUCACCUACUCCAUGCAGGCCCAUAUGAAUUUGACUAUUGCUGGUUUUGCCCUCAUUUCCACUGAUGUUCAGAAUCUUAAAGCUGUUACAGCCAGGCAUAGCUUGGCAUUAGACUAUAUCCUAGCUAAGGAGGGGGGAUAUUGCAGGGCCCUAAAUUCUAUUUCUGCCACGGAAUGUGUUAUGCUUCUCCCUGACUCCUCUGAUAAUAUGACAAGAGAUUUUGAAAGAAUUAACAGUUGGCUGACACCUACACCCCCACAGGAGAAGACUCCUGGUUCCCGUUUGGGUGGUUGAAAGAUAAACUAGGAAAUGUUGGUUUUAAGUUGUUUUCCAUUUUAGUCACAUUAUUGGCCCCAGUGCUUGUUCUGCUGAUUUGCAUUUGUGCAUUCUGUGCAGCUGGCAAAUGUGUACUUCAUAAGGCUAUGCCAGGCAUGUUUAUGCUUCAAGUUCCUCAUCCCCCAGAACCUUAUUGUUUAUCCUUAAUCUCCUGAGGAUUGCUUGCAAUCUAAUACACCUUUUAUGGAUGAUUCUUAUAAUUACUAUGUUGAGUUGGUUUACUUUUUUUGAGGUCUGGUGGCCUCAAAGGGGGAAUGAAGAAGGUUAAACCAAGGCCGUAUACCUUUUAAAGGGUUAAUAAAUGAUGUUAUGAUAAACUGUAAGGUCUCCUCUUCAGGAGACCUCUGUGUGUGUUAACCUGUUUUGAGUGUUGUGACCUUCAGACACUAUCAGAAGGCGUCUACAUUCAGACUCCUCCUGUCUGGAUCCCACCGUGGUUAUCUGGUUUUCUGAGAACACAAGGCUGCCACAGACCUGAUGAAACCAGCCACCUGUCAGAAGAUGCUUACACUCGUUCACAUUGUUAUGGCUCUAUACUUGUGAUGAAAGGUCAAGUUUCGGCCAAAUUCAUCUUGCUGUCAGUGGGAGGUUAGAUUUAUUAAAAUAUUGUUGCUAGGGAAAGCUACGUAUGGGGGAUUGGGGAGGCUAUAUGAGUUAUAGGAUGUCUUAGACAUUUUUCAGAACUUAGGGAGAACUAUCAUAUACUGUUAUACAAUACUCUGUAUCAACUUCUGCCUAAAAUUGUAUUACUAAAAGGAGUAUUUUAAUA